rnacentral:rRNA from 1 species
AGUGAACGCUGGCGGCGGGCCUAACACAUGCAAGUCGAACGGCAGCACAAGAGAGCUUGCUCUCUGGGUGGCGAGUGGCGGACGGGUGAGGAAUGCAUCGGAAUCUGCCCAUUUGUGGGGGAUAACCUCGGGAAACCGGGACUAAUACCGCAUACGACCUACGGGUGAAAGCAGGGGAUCUUCGGACCUUGCGCAGAUGGAUGAGCCGAUGCCGGAUUAGCUAGUUGGAGGGGUAAAGGCCCACCAAGGCGACGAUCCGUAGCUGGUCUGAGAGGAUGAUCAGCCACACUGGGACUGAGACACGGCCCAGACUCCUACGGGAGGCAGCAGUGGGGAAUAGUGGACAAUGGGCGCAAGCCUGAUCCAGCCAUGCCGCGUGUGUGAAGAAGGCCUUCGGGUUGUAAAGCACUUUUGUUGGGAAAGAAAAGCAGCCGGUUAAUACCCGGUUGUCAUGACGGUACCCAAAGAAUAAGCACCGGCUAACUUCGUG